GAACUUUCUAAUAUUAAUUUGGCUAACUGUAUUUGUACAUCGAAGUUGUUUCAUACAUGAAUGCUUGUCCGCUAUCCCUGGGUCAUAAUAAAUACAUAGAUGUCCCUUUCAUUUUCUCCAAGACAAGUCAGCAGCUUUAUUUAAUUCAAGUCGACAUCAAAAUUAAAGAGUUUGGAAAAUGGGGGCGUUUUGAUGACAAUCCAUAAUCGAUUUUUGGAGGUAAAAAUAGUUUUUGCAACCGAAACACCAUUUGAUGAUGAAUGGUUGAAAGGAAAACACCAAGAAAAAAUUGUUAAUUAAUGCCAAAUAACUCAAGCCCCUCCUCAUGCAGUGGAGGAAGUGUCAGUUUCUCUUUACUUCCACUUCCAGAAGAAUUGUGGUGUAUGCAGUGGAGGAAGUGUCAGUUUCUCUUUACUUCCACUUCCAGAAGAAUUGUGGUGUCUAAGGAGAAGGGCGUCGCUUUUCCUUGCCAGAAACAAGGAGAGAGUGUCAAACCCUGGCCCCUCCUCAUGCAUUGAAGGAAGUUGUGGGUCUUCCUUUCCUUCAAAAAAAUUGUGGUGUUUAAGGAGGACUUCAUUUACCCUCGCCAGCAGCAACAAAAAGAAAAAAUUGUCAAUUAAUGCUAGAUUUGUUGGGUAGUGGUAGUGGCCAAGAGCACUACUCAUUCAGUAAAUGCAAGGGGGCCCACUUGUAGUUAUGAGCUUUAAUGUUCACCUAAAAUCUCUCACUCACUGUAACCGCUGCUGGAUUGGAUUUGGGAAAAACAUAAGGGGCUGGCUAUUUAUAUCCAGCGAGACUAAGUAAUAUAAUGUUGAUUAUAUAUGAGGAGCCCCUUAGAAGGAAACCCCAAAACUGACAUACUCUUCAACUUCCUCUUCUUCCUCUUGUGCUGUUUUCUACAGGGACGAGUUCUACAUGGAACUAAAGCUGUUGGUGAUCUUACAGGCGACGACUUGCAACUUCCGCUGCAUCGUAAGUUUCCUCAACAGUGGUAUCAGAGCCAUACGUAUCGAAUUCCAGGACGAGUUCUAUAUGGAACUAAAGCCAUUGGUGAUCUUACAGGCGACGACUUGCAACUUCCACUGCAUUCCAUGACCGAAGCUGGCCCAGCAACUGCCUACAUGAGCCAUGCAUGUGGCUCUGCCGGGCCUGAGUAGGUUCAGACAUGAACACCUCUGUCGGCGGUGGCCUGCAUCAGGUUGGGCCUUAUUUGAUUGGAGAAAGGGAUUAAUGUCUGCUCGGUAAGUCAUGGCAUCGAUUCAAAUUAGCUGCCAUGCUAGAAAUCUAGAUCUAGUGGCUGGAUUUAAGAAAUCUAGAUCUAGAUUUAUGCUAAUUUUUCUUAGCAUAAGACUUUAUCAUUUGUUUGCAACUUUGUUGAUUUCUUAAUCAAUAUUACUUGAGAGUUAGUUGAUUUGGGAUUUGGAAGAGGCGAUCAUCCCUAUUGCUGCAUCAGGUAAGGGAGCAUUUCAAUUAAUGAUUUGAAUGUACCUUUAAUUACCAUAUCUUAUGUAUCUGAUGUUCGUAUGUGCAAAUUCAAAUUUGAAUUUGAAAUUAAAAAUCUGGAUCCCACUUUUAAAUGCAUAAAUUUAUCCCAAUCUCACUUUCAAAUAUGCAACCUAAUUCAGACUGCAAUAUUUUCAUAUAUUAAAACUAAAUCCAAAUGUGAAAUGAUAUUUUUGUUGGGCAAUAAGUUUAUUUUUAUGUCUAAUAUAUAUCUUUUUUUGAUAUCUAAUCCGAAUUCGUAUCCAAUGACAUCCUUAGGUGGAUCUCAUUCUCCACAUUGAUUUUUAAUCCCAUUUUCCACAUUGAUCCUUAAAGGUAUACUGAAAAGGGCGCUUCGGUUUAAAAAAAAAAAAAUCAGUGAAAGCACGUGAACUGUCUGCACGCCAAUUGUUGAAGUGUGUUAAAAGAACAUUUUUUAACAUCCAUAUUGCUUAUGCAUGGCAUGAACCAUUUAACAAAUGAGCUAAGAUGGGACUAGGGCUGGGCAUCAGCGUGGGCUGGGCUGGCCCAAGGCUCAACAAAAGCAGGGUCAGGCUGGCCCGAAGCCCCAGCCAGCUGCUCAAUCUCAACCUGCUUAAUUCUUAGAUGAAAAGGGUCCGGGACCGGAGGUUGGUGGAAUGACCUCUGGAUCAUUAACUUACGCCGUCUACUUAUUAUACUGCCCUCGUUGCUGCUUAAGGUUCUGCUGCUCUGAGGAGGAGUAUGUUGAGUUCCUCAAAACUCAGAGUCUUCCCCCGAACUGAAGCUUCCUGAUCUCUGUUUCCUCGUCUGUAUGAUAAUGAUGAUCGUAGAGAUGGAGCUUGUCAAUAAGAAAGCAAGCAUGCUUAUUGCUUGGCAGAAGAGCGUGCACGUAAGUCGUGAAUUUCCUGGUUCUUCCUGUUAGCAAUUAGAACAAUAUUUACGUCUAUGGUCUGUGUACUUGUGCAAUGAAAUUAAAUAUAUGUUCUGCUUAA